UACGUAGGGGGCAAGCGUUGUCCGGAAUUAUUGGGCGUAAAGAGCGCGCAGGCGGUCAAGUCAGUCGAAUGUGAAAGCCCCCGGCUCAACUGGGGAGGGUCAUUCGAUACUGCUCGACUUGAAGGCAGGAGAGGGAAGUGGAAUUCCCGGUGUAGUGGUGAAAUGCGUAGAUAUCGGGAGGAACACCAGUGGCGAAGGCGACUUUCUGGCCUGUUCUUGACGCUGAGGCGCGAAAGCUAGGGGAGCAAACGGG
rnacentral:rRNA from 1 species